UCGGAGAUAUUAUGAAAUUUACUUUCAGCCGAUGACGUCAUCCCAGCCCGCCGCUUCAAAACAAAGCGCUGUUUUUCUUUCUUUGCUGGUGCUGAGCUGGACCUAAAACCAAAGUAGGCUACUUUUUUAGUGCUUCGUUUGUGCAGGUUUGUGCCGUUAAAAUUGUCAUUUUCUGCUGCUUUGGUUUCGGAGAUAUUAUGAAUUUUAAUUUCAGACGAUGACGUCACCCCAGCCCGCCGCUUCAAAACAAAGCGCUAAGUUUUUCGUUCUUUGCUGGUGCUGAGCUGGAUCCAAAACAAACCACGACAUCCACCCUGAUAAAACAAGGCGGAAGUUUCCCAGACUGGUUCCCAAGUAGCACACGGAAGCAUUCGUUGAUGUACGUCUUCAGAUCAGGGUAAGGAGUGAAGGCCUUCACCAAUGCACCAAGAAUAGCCAGAGAAAAGUCACUCACGGCUUCCUUUGGUACAGCAGCACCCGUACGAAGCCAUUCUGUCAGCCAUGUUGCAAUAGCAUUAAUGUCGUGUCUCUCUGACAGCAUUUGCACAACUGGGACUGAGGAAUUGUCCCCUGUCAGAACGCCCUGAUAAAGGAAGAUGUGGCCAGAUGUACCAUUUGGUCUCACAAGUCAACAACCGAGCCUGUUGCAUCAAAGCAAACUACAGAGGGGCAUUUUUUGGACAAUGCUCUAUACACAUGGAGCUGAGUUGGACUCCAAUAGUGGCAGAAGAACUUGUCUAGACCAAUGUCUCUUAUACAACCACUGUGAGGUGUGCUAUAUUUUAGCAAUUGCAAAGACAAAAUUGGAUCUUUGUCACCUAAUUCCAAAUCUCUUCUCUCUUGCUUUGCUUUUCGUAGGGUCGCCAAAUUUGGUAGGUGACUUGGCUCAGGAUCUCCAAUAUCCAUCAAAUCUGAUGCCUUCGCUGACCUCCAUACAGCCGGCUCCAUCCUGCGCUCACACAGCUCUUUUGAAAUCUGUGCACGAAGGUCUCCAGACAUGAACCUCUUGGAACGGCCAGUGUGCAGGGAGAUAUCAGUGUCUUCGAUGGAACACUCGAGAACCAUUGGGCUGUUGACUGUUGGUUCUCUGGCACAUGUCAUUUUUAACAUGGCCUUGACACUCUUUACAGAAGCCCUUAAUGUCUAUGUAGUUGCUGGUUCUAGAUGAAUAAACUUUUGCUCUCUGGAACACAAA